CCGGUCCGCUCCGCCGCCCCAGCGAGACUGAGGUGGCCCGCGCGCCGCCCGGCCCUGGAGACCCCUGGGGGCGUGGCUUCGAUCCCGCGGCCCCGCCCUCCGCCCCGCCCUCACCUGCCCGCGCGCUGGACCCGGGCGGUCGCUCGGCACCCGGCUCUGGGCGCGUUCCCGGGCCGGGGUCCGGGAAUAGGGGGCGUGGCGACGGGAAGAAAGAAGACGGAGGGGCGGCCUGAGGUGGGCCUAGGGGACAGGGAGUUGCUUGAUCUAGGGGCUACCUCAGGGUCUGCUCUGGAAGAAGUGCGUCCUCUGCAGGAAGCUGCUGGAGGAAGACACCACUAGAACAAGGACUUAAACCAAGAAAGUGGGUUCUGGCAAGGGUUACCAUGGAUGGAUCCUGAGGACAUUAUGCUAAGUGAGAUAAGACAAAGACAGUGUGUGUGUGUGUGUGGGGGGGGGGUAAUGGCAAGCCAUCAGGAAAGAGACGCAUCUUUCCUUCUAUAGGCUUGAGUCAAGAACUGUCAUUGGUAAUACCUGGACGAAUGCUUAAAGCGGCGGGAAAAAGAACAGUAAAACUUUCAGGAAAAAGCUAUUAUCCAACAAGUGAGAUAUGGUAGAAAUGAAGUUGAUGUUCCGGGAAGUUCUAAAACAAGGACAGUUGUCUGCAGAAGAUAUAAUCAACUGGUGUUGUGUAAACCCAAACUUUUACCCUUAAAAUCUCUGACCCUGGGGACAGGUGGUGGCACACCUGGUUAAGUGCACACACUACAGUGCACAAGGACCCAGGUUCAAGCCCCUGGUCCCCACCUGCAGGGGGAAAGCUUCACAAGUGGUGAAGCAGGGCUGCAGGUGUUUCUCUGUUUCUCUCCCUCACUAUCUUACCUCCUCUCUCAAUUUCUCUCUAUCCCUAUCCAAUAAAUAAAUAAAUAAAUAAGUAAAAGUUAAGAAAAAUUUUUAAAAAAAUCUCUGACCCUGGAAAAACGAGAAAAUUCAACAAGCAGCACAAGAUACAAUUCGGCAACAAGAAAUGGCAGAAAAGGAAAAGCAGAUAAUCCACUGAAUGAUAACAUUUCUACAGAAUACCCUCCCUUACCUACUAUAAUAGCUAAAAAAUAAUCUGUAUGCUGGAAGUAGUAUGUUAGGAAAGUUGAUGGUAUUCAUGUAUGUAAUAUAAAAAUAUUCGACUAAUAAAACUAGUAUUGAAUAUAAA